rfam:Triticum urartu cultivar G1812 contig907903, whole genome shotgun sequence.
UAUGUAUUCCUUCCGUUCGAAAAUACUAUUUAUCAUCAAAAUGGAUGAAAAUGAUGUAUCUAGAACUAAAAUAUGUCUAGAUACAUCUUCUUUUAUCCAUUUUAAUGACAAGUGUUUCUGGAUGGAGGGAGUAGGUU